UACAGAGGGUGCAAGCGUUGUUCGGAAUUAUUGGGCGUAAAGCGCGUGUAGGCGGCUCGGUAAGUCCGCUCUGAAAGCCCGGGGCUCAACCCCGGGAGGCGGGUGGAUACUGCUGAGCUCGAGUCCGGAAGAGGAGUGUGGAAUUCCUGGUGUAGCGGUGAAAUGCGCAGAUAUCGAGAGGAACACCUGCGGCGAAGGCGGGUUGCUGGGCUGAUACUGACGCUGAGGCGCGAAAGCCAGGGGAGCGAACGGG
rnacentral:rRNA from 1 species